GAUGAACGCUGGCGGCGUGCCUAAUACAUGCAAGUCGAGCGAACAGAUGAGGAGCUUGCUCCUCUGACGUUAGCGGCGGACGGGUGAGUAACACGUGGAUAACCUACCUAUAAGACUGGGAUAACUUCGGGAAACCGGAGCUAAUCCCGGAUAAUAUAUUGAACCGCAUGGUUCAAUAGUGAAAGACGGUUUUGCUGUCACUUAUAGAUGGAUCCGCGCCGCAUUAGCUAGUUGGUAAGGUAACGGCUUACCAAGGCAACGAUGCGUAGCCGACCUGAGAGGGUGAUCGGCCACACUGGAACUGAGACACGGACCAGACUCCUACGGGAGGCAGCAGUAUGGAAUCUUCCGCAAUGGGCGAAAGCCUGACGGAGCAACGCCGCGUGAGUGAUGAAGGUCUUCGGAUCGUAAAACUCUGUUAUUAGGGAAGAACAAAUGUGUAAGUAACUAUGCACGUCUUGACGGUACCUAAUCAAAAAGCCACGGCUAACUACGUG
rnacentral:rRNA from 1 species